rnacentral:rRNA from 1 species
GGGACCAAUCCGUGAUAGGUCACUUCAUCUGGAAGGAGAGGUGGCCGAAAAGGGAAUUGUGGGCUUCCACUUUUCUCGCUUCAGGAUGGGACUGCGGCCGAUCAGGCUGUUGGCGGGGUAAUGGCCCACCAAACCUGUAACCGGUACGGGCCUUGAGAGAGGUGGCCCGGAGAUGGACACUGAGACAAGGGUCCAGGUCCUACGGGGCGCAGCAGGCGCGAAACCUUCGCAAUGCGCGAAAGCGUGACGAGGUUAAUCCGAGUGGCUUCCGCUUAGGAAGUCUUUUGCCGACUCUAAAAAGGUCGGAGAAUAAGGGGAGGGCAAGUCUGGUGUCAGCCGCCGCGGUAAUACCAGCUCCUCGAGUGGUCGGGGCGAUUAUUGGGCCUAAAGCAUCCGUAGCCGGUUCCGUAGGUCUCCUGCAAAAUCCAGUCGCUCAACGAUUGGCCCGCAGGGGAUACCGCGGGACUAGGAGGCGGGAGAGGUGGACGGUACUCCACGUGUAGGGGUAAAAUCCUUUGAUCCGUGGAAGACCACCAGUGGCGAAGGCGGUCCACCAGAACGCGCUCGACGGUGAGGGAUGAAAGCUGGGGGAGCGAACCGGAUUAGAUACCCGGGUAGUCCCAGCCGUAAACGAUGCGAGCUAGAUGAUCCAAUCGCAAAUCGCGAUUGGAGUGUCGCAGGGAAGCCGUUAAGCUCGCCGCCUGGGGAGUACGGUCGCA